AAGGAGAAAAAUGGAUAAGAACAUAAAAGUAUCUUUAAAUUUCUAAAGACAUAAUCAAACAAAGAUGAUUGCAGGAGCAUAUUUACUACUCAACUUGGCCAAUUUGAUGUCAAUAGAAAUGCAUGAGAUCCUUAUUCAGCAUUCACACCUGAGAAAUGCUUUUGGUCUACUCCCUAAGGCAAAAAACAAAACAAAGCAAAACAAAACAGAAGUUUCUGAAGGACAGCAGAAAUGGGAAGUUCUUUCCAUGAUGCAAGACACUAAAUGGAAAGUGACCUUCUUUUGGGAGAUACACCUAGGUAGCCUAAUCAUGUGAAACCACUGAUAGUAGCAACAGAUGAAGAUGCUGGAAGGGGAAACUGA